AGAAAACCAACAAGGGUUCCUUGCAUAACUCAUAUUUGAGCUAGUUUUAGCAAGGAUUAUACCCAUCUAUGUGUAUAUUUUGUAAUUCAGCGUCUUUGUAGCUAUGAUUUUGGCUGUCUUUUAGAGGAAGCCCAAAUCAUAUUCAUCAUUUCUCAAGUUUUAGGGAAGAGAUGAUAGUUUAUAUGUGUACUUGUGAUGGUGUCUUU
rnacentral:misc_RNA from 1 species